GUCUUACACUUGAUCUCUGAACUUCAGGUAAGUUCAUAUGUGGAAAGUAUUAAUCACUGAUGCA